AUACCUUUCUCGGCCUCUUAGAUAACAUCAAGUGUAGUAUAUGUUUUUAUUAGUUUAAUAUUUGAUAUAUUAAUGAUUGGUCCACAUUAUAUUAAAUUAAUUUUUAUUAGGGAGAUUCCACCAUAAUAGCUUUCAAUUGGGGUUCUCGACUAUUUUUUUUGUAUUACACUAUUGUACAGAUCUAGUAUAUUGUUA